AGAGCGAACGCUGGCGGCAGGCUUAACACAUGCAAGUCGAGCGGGCGUAGCAAUACGUCAGCGGCAGACGGGUGAGUAACGCGUGGGAACAUACCUUUUGGUUCGGAACAACACAGGGAAACUUGUGCUAAUACCGGAUAAGCCCUUACGGGGAAAGAUUUAUCGCCGAAAGAUUGGCCCGCGUCUGAUUAGCUAGUUGGUGAGGUAACGGCUCACCAAGGCGACGAUCAGUAGCUGGUCUGAGAGGAUGAUCAGCCACAUUGGGACUGAGACACGGCCCAAACUCCUACGGGAGGCAGCAGUGGGGAAUAUUGGACAAGUGGGCGCAAGCCUGAUCCAGCCAUGCCGCGUGAGUGAUGAAGGCCCUAGGGUUGUAAAGCUCUUUUGUGCGGGAAGAUAAUGACGGUACCGCAAGAAUAAGCCCCGGCUAACUUCGUGCCAGCAGCCGC
rnacentral:rRNA from 1 species